GGGGCAUUACUGGUUUCGACAGGACGAUCAAACCGACCUUGUGAUUCAGGCCGAGAGUGAGCCUCCUCUCGAAAAUCAAAGGUUCACAAAAAAUGUAAGUGCGAACAACGUCGUACCUUUCGCUCGCGUUAAAGCCGCUGUUGCUUAAUAACGAAUACCUCCUAUAGGUUCGAGCACUCACGGUUUGACUCCGUUAAGGACUGUGGGUUAAACCCCAACGGAUGCUUCGGUUAAGCGUUCUCUGGUAGCUUAACUGAAAAAGACUCUACUAGAGAAUCCUACCGUCAGGGAUAAGUGACGGUUCCCGCCCUAAGGAUUAGAGGGGCUAUGUCUGUGAACGAGCAGGGCGUAAAUAGUCGUUUUGGACAUGGGUUCGAUUCCCAUAUGCUCCAUUU
rfam:Arthrospira platensis NIES-39 DNA, nearly complete genome.